rnacentral:rRNA from 1 species
GAGUUUGAUCCUGGCUCAGGACGAACGCUGGCGGCGUGCUUAACACAUGCAAGUCGAGCGGAAAGGCCCUUUCGGGGGUACUCGAGCGGCGAACGGGUGAGUAACACGUGAGUAAUCUGCCCUUCACUUGGGGAUAACUACCGGAAACGGUGGCUAAUACCCGAUACGACAACUCCACGCAUGUGGUGGUUGUGGAAAGUUUUUUCGGUGGAGGAUGUGCUCGCGGCCUAUCAGCUUGUUGGUGGGGUAAUGGCCUACCAAGGCUUCGACGGGUAGCCGGCCUGAGAGGGUGACCGGCCACACUGGGACUGAGACACGGCCCAGACUCCUACGGGAGGCAGCAGUGGGGAAUAUUGGACAAUGGGCGAAAGCCUGAUCCAGCAACGCCGCGUGAGGGAUGACGGCCUUCGGGUUGUAAACCUCUUUCAGCGGGGACGAAGCGCCGGUAAUGGUGGUGACGGUACCCGCAGAAGAAGCACCGGCCAACUACGUGCCAGCAGCCGCGGUAAUACGUAGGGUGCGAGCGUUGUCCGGAAUUAUUGGGCGUAAAGGGCUCGUAGGCGGUUUGUCGCGUCGGGAGUGAAAACACCGGGCUUAACUCGGUGCUUGCUUUCGAUACGGGCAGACUAGAGGCAUGCAGGGGAAAACGGAAUUCCUGGUGUAGCGGUGAAAUGCGCAGAUAUCAGGAGGAACACCGGUGGCGAAGGCGGUUCUCUGGGCAUGUCAUGACCAUGAGGAGCGAAAGUGUGGGGAGCGAACAGGAUUAGAUAUCAGCGUACUGCACACCGCAGAGAUGGGCGCUAGGUGUGGGUGUUCCUCCAUAUAUUCCGCACGCAGCUAACGCAUUAAGAAUUCCGUUCUGGGGAGCAUGCCCGCAAGGCUAAAACUCAAAGGAGCAAGACGGGGAGUUAACACAAGCGGCGGAGCAUGCGGAUUAACAAGAUGCAACGCGAAGAACCUUACCCAAUUUGACAUACACCGGAAAGCUGUAGAGAUAUGGCCCCGGUUGUCGGCGUGCAGGUGGUGCAUGGCUGUUGUCAGGUCGUGUCUGAGACAUUGGGGUAAGUUCGUCAACGAUGAAAGAGGUCGUAAUAUGAAGCAGUCAUUUAUGGUGGGGACUCAUAGGAUCAGCCGGGGUCACAUCGGAGGAAGGUGGGGACGACGUCAAGUCAUCGAGUCGGUAUGUCCAUCAGUUCACACAUGGUACAAUGGCCGGUCAAAGGGGUGCGAUGUUGCAAGGCGGAUAGAACAUCAAAAAGCCGGUAUCAGUUUAGAUUGGGAUCACCAACUCCACCGCAAGAAGUUGGAGUCGCCAGUACUUGCAGAUCAGCAUCGUAUCGGGGAAUACGUUCCCGGGCCGGUAGCACACCGCAAGUCAGGGCAGAAAGUCGGCAACUACUGAAGCCGGUGGCGUAAGCGUUGUGGAGGGAGCCGUCGAAGGUGGGGACGGCGAUGGGGAAGCAGUCGUAACAAGGUAGCUCGUUCCGGCUGGAUCACCUCCUUUCU